AUGGUUGAAUUGGUUCCAAGAAGC
rnacentral:siRNA from 1 species